AACGCUGGCGGCAGGCCUAACACAUGCAAGUCGAACGAACUCUUCGGAGUUAGUGGCGGACGGGUGAGUAACACGUGGGAACGUGCCUUUUGGUUCGGAAUAACUCAGGGAAACUUGUGCUAAUACCGAAUGUGCCCUUCGGGGGAAAGAUUUAUCGCCAUUAGAGCGGCCCGCGUCUGAUUAGCUAGUUGGUGAGGUAAAGGCUCACCAAGGCGACGAUCAGUAGCUGGUCUGAGAGGAUGAUCAGCCACAUUGGGACUGAGACACGGCCCAAACUCCUACGGGAGGCAGCAGUGGGGAAUCUUGCGCAAUGGGCGAAAGCCUGACGCAGCCAUGCCGCGUGAAUGAUGAAGGUCUUAGGAUUGUAAAAUUCUUUCACCGGGGACGAUAAUGACGGUACCCGGAGAAGAAGCCCCGGCUAACUUCGUGCCAGCAGCCGCGGUAAUACGAAGGGGGCUAGCGUUGCUCGGAAUUACUGGGCGUAAAGGGAGCGUAGGCGGACAUUUAAGUCAGGGGUGAAAUCCCGGGGCUCAACCUCGGAAUUGCCUUUGAUACUGGGUGUCUUGAGUAUGAGAGAGGUGUGUGGAACUCCGAGUGUAGAGGUGAAAUUCGUAGAUAUUCGGAAGAACACCAGUGGCGAAGGCGACACACUGGCUCAUUACUGACGCUGAGGCUCGAAAGCGUGGGGAGCAAACAGGAUUAGAUACCCUGGUAGUCCACGCCGUAAA
rnacentral:rRNA from 1 species